AUUGAACGCUGGCGGCAGGCCUAACACAUGCAAGUCGAGCGGAUGAAGGGAGCUUGCUCCUGGAUUCAGCGGCGGACGGGUGAGUAAUGCCUAGGAAUCUGCCUGGUAGUGGGGAUAACGUCCGGAAACGGGCGCUAAUACCGUAUACGUCCUGAGGGAGAAAGUGGGGGAUCUUCGGACCUCACGCUAUCAGAUGAGCCUAGGUCGGAUUAGCUAGUUGGUGGGGUAAAGGCCUACCAAGGCGACGAUCCGUAACUGGUCUGAGAGGAUGAUCAGUCACACUGGAACUGAGACACGGUCCAGACUCCUACGGGAGGCAGCAGUGGGGAAUAUUGGACAAUGGGCGAAAGCCUGAUCCAGCCAUGCCGCGUGUGUGAAGAAGGUCUUCGGAUUGUAAAGCACUUUAAGUUGGGAGGAAGGGCAGUAAGUUAAUACCUUGCUGUUUUGACGUUACCAACAGAAUAAGCACCGGCUAACUUCGUG
rnacentral:rRNA from 1 species